rnacentral:rRNA from 1 species
AACGAACGCUGGCGGCAGGCCUAAUAUAUGCAAGUCGAACGAACCUUCGGGUUAGUGGCGCACGGGUGCGUAACGCGUGGGAAUGUACACCUUGGUAAGGAACAACGUCGGGAAACUGACGCUAAUACCUUAUAAUAUCUCCGGAUCAAAGAUUUAUCGCCAAGGGAUCAGCUCGCGUCUGAUUAGCUAGUUGGUGGGGUAAUGGCCCACCAAGGCGAUGAUCAGUAGCUGGUCUGAGAGGAUGAUCAGCCACACUGGAACUGAGACACGGUCCAGACUCCUACGGGAGGCAGCAGUAAGGAAUAUUGGACAAUGGGGGCAACCCUGAUCCAGCCAUGCCGCGUGUGUGAAGAAGGCCUUAGGGUUGUAAAGCACUUUCAAACGUGAAGAUAAUGACGGUAGCGUUAGAAGAAGCUCCGGCUAAAUUCGUGCCAGCCGCCGCCGUAA